AGAGUUUGAUCAUGGCUCAGGAUGAACGCUAGCUACAGGCUUAACACAUGCAAGUCGAACGAAGCUCCUGCGACAGAUUCCUUCGGGAUGAAGAUGCUUGAGACUUAGUGGCGGACGGGUGAGUAACGCGUGGGUAACCUGCCCUGUACUGGGGGACAACAGUUAGAAAUGACUGCUAAUACCGCAUAAGCCUACGGAGUCGCAUGACUCAGCAGGAAAAAUUCCGGUGGUACAGGAUGGGCCCGCGUCUGAUUAGCUAGUUGGUGAGGUAAUGGCUUACCAAGGCGACGAUCAGUAGCCGGCUUGGAGGAGUGAACGGCCACAUUGGGACUGAGACAUGGCCCAAACUCCGUACGGGAGCCA
rnacentral:rRNA from 1 species